rnacentral:rRNA from 1 species
UACAGAGGUCCCAAGCGUUGUUCGGAUUCACUGGGCGUAAAGGGUGCGUAGGCGGUCGGGUAAGUCUGAUGUGAAAUCUCACAGCUUAACUGUGAAACUGCAUUGGAUACUAUCCGGCUCGAGGAAUGGAGGGGGGACUGGAAUUCUUGGUGUAGCAGUGAAAUGCGUAGAUAUCAAGAGGAACACCAGUGGCGAAGGCGAGUCCCUGGACAACUUCUGACGCUGAGGCACGAAAGCUAGGGGAGCAAACAGG